rnacentral:rRNA from 1 species
AUUGAACGCUGGCGGCAUGCUUUACACAUGCAAGUCGAACGGUAACAGGCCUUCGGGUGCUGACGAGUGGCGAACGGGUGAGUAAUGCAUCGGAACGUGCCCAGAGGUGGGGGAUAACGCAGCGAAAGCUGUGCUAAUACCGCAUGUGAUCUGAGGAUGAAAGCGGGGGACCAGGCAGCAAUGUUUGGCCUCGCGCCUUUGGAGCGGCCGAUGUCAGAUUAGGUAGUUGGUGGGGUAAAGGCCUACCAAGCCGACGAUCUGUAGCUGGUCUGAGAGGACGACCAGCCACACUGGGACUGAGACACGGCCCAGACUCCUACGGGAGGCAGCAGUGGGGAAUUUUGGACAAUGGGCGCAAGCCUGAUCCAGCAAUGCCGCGUGCGGGAAGAAGGCCUUCGGGUUGUAAAGCGCUUUUGUACGGAACGAAAAGGCUCUGGCUAAUACCUGGGGCUGAUGACGGUACCGUAAGAAUAAGCACCGGCUAACUACGUG